CAGCGUCUUUCGUCCCGUCCGCUCUCCCCGCCACGUGGUGGCCGGGUGAGGGCCUCGGGGUAGCAC
rnacentral:pre_miRNA from 1 species